GACGAACGCUGGCGGCGUGCUUAACACAUGCAAGUCGAACGGAAAGGCCCUGCUUUUGUGGGGUGCUCGAGUGGCGAACGGGUGAGUAACACGUGAGUAACCUGCCCUUGACUUUGGGAUAACUUCAGGAAACUGGGGCUAAUACCGGAUAGGAGCUCCUGCUGCAUGGUGGGGGUUGGAAAGUUUCGGCGGUUGGGGUUGGACUCGCGGCUUAUCAGCUUGUUGGUGGGGUAGUGGCUUACCAAGGCUUUGACGGGUAGCCGGCCUGAGAGGGUGACCGGCCACAUUGGGACUGAGAUACGGCCCAGACCCCUACGGGAGGCAGCAGUGGGGAAUAUUGCACAAUGGGCGGAAGCCUGAUGAAGCAACGCCGCGUGCGGGAUGACGGCCUUCGGGUUGUAAACCGCUUUCGCCUGUGACGAAGCGUGAGUGACGGUAAUGGGUAAAGAAGCACCGGCUAACUACGUG
rnacentral:rRNA from 1 species